GAGAAAGAAUGCGAGAACUGCUAACUCACGCCUCCAUACCUAACAAUAUGGCUUUCUCAA
rnacentral:tRNA from 1 species